GAACUGUUCCAGUUGCCUAAGUGGUUAGAACGUCCGCCUCCGAUGCGGGAGGUCACGGGUUCUAAUCCCGUCCGAGUCA